CCCAUCUAUAUUCUUAUGACCUGACAUUGAGUUUCCAUAACUCCUUUCGCUUUCCUUAAUUUCACCCUACCUUUCAAAUAUACAUUUAGAACCCUAAUCUUCGAUUGUGUUCAUCCAUCAGUCAUUCUCUAUAUCAAAUGGUAACUCUUCUGAUCUUCAUCUUCUACAUAUUCAAAACCUAAUAUAUUCAUCUUAUUUGUAUAUGAGCGACACACGGUGCACCAUUACAUGUUAUGACCCGAAACGAUUUUGUCGGGUCUUAUAUAAUGAAUCACAACAGUCGUUUCUUUUCUAAAACCCUAGCUAUCAAAAUCGUUUUUCUUCUUCUUGAAUCAUCUAUGAUCCAGAUGAUGUUCUAUGUAUUGAAUCAUCUAUGAUCCAGCGAUUUAACCUUCAACCUUCAUGUGCUAGAACCAUCAAGGUAUAUUCUCUGUCUUUCAAUGUUAGAUAAUAUUUGUUGUUUUUCGAUUUAAUCAAAGUUAUUUGAUUGAUCAUCCAAACACGCUCAGAGAUUGAGUACAAAGCUAAUAUGAUGAGAAAGGAAACCCUAAUUGCAAACUCUGUACAAGUUAGGUUAAUCCACAUGUUCGUUUUCUUUCGUGAAUUAUUGAAAUUCUAGAUUCAUGAUUGUUUCGCUUCAAUUUGAAUAGGGUUUGUUGUCGUUUUGCUUAAAUCAUGUUGUUUUUAUAAUUUUUUGCUUUAGUGUCUAUUGUAAUACAAUGGCCCCAUAGGUACAAAACAAAUGACAACAAAGGAACUUAUUGUUUCUAAUCUAGAUAUUAUUGUUGGAAUGUUUGGUUCCUAUAUAUAAUAUCCUUCCGUGUUCUUUGUAUGUAUGAGCCAAUCCUGGCCCACAUGGGAGAAACACUAUCUUUUAUCAUCGAUUCAUUACCAGAAUACUGAAUACUGAUUGAUCGAGAAGCUAAUGGAAGAAGGAGUAGGAUUGGAGAUGGACUUCACCAACCUUGGUGUUGUCGCUGACUCUAUAGAUGCCUUAAUUACAUUUCCUCUCCGUCAUUGGUCUUAAGUCUGUUGUGAUAAAUGGAGGAAGGGGAGGAGGAGGA